ensembl:snRNA U6 U6 spliceosomal RNA
GCUUCCAUAGCACAGACUAAAAUUGGAAGGACGCCAAUUGGAUUAGCAUGGUCCCUGCACAAGGAUGACAUGAAUUUUUGAAGCAUUUUUCCUGGUAUUU